rnacentral:rRNA from 1 species
AUUGAACGCUGGCGGCAUGCCUUACACAUGCAAGUCGAACGGCAGCACGGGAGCAAUCCUGGUGGCGAGUGGCGAACGGGUGAGUAAUAUAUCGGAACGUGCCCGGUCGUGGGGAUAACGUAGCGAAAGCUACGCUAAUACCGCAUACGAUCUACGGAUGAAAGCGGGGGAUCGCAGGACCUCGCGCGAUUGGAGCGGCCGAUAUCAGAUUAGGUAGUUGGUGAGGUAAAGGCUCACCAAGCCGACGAUCUGUAGCUGGUCUGAGAGGACGACCAGCCACACUGGGACUGAGACACGGCCCAGACUCCUACGGGAGGCAGCAGUGGGGAAUUUUGGACAAUGGGCGCAAGCCUGAUCCAGCAAUGCCGCGUGCCAGGAUGAAGGCC